UCCUCGAUAGCUCAAUUUGGCAGAGCAAGCGGCUGUUAACCGCUAGGUUUCUGGUUCGAGUCCAGAUCGAGGAG
rnacentral:tRNA from 1 species